CAUUAAGUAGCUUAAAGUAAGCAUUGGUCUCUUAAACCAAAAUAUAGUAAUUUAACAUAUACUCUUAAUGG
rnacentral:tRNA from 1 species